AUACGGAGGGGGCUAGCGUUGUUCGGAAUUACUGGGCGUAAAGCGCGCGUAGGCGGAUUGAUCAGUCAGGGGUGAAAUCCCGGAGCUUAACUCCGGAACUGCCUUUGAUACUGUCAAUCUUGAGUUCGAGAGAGGUGAGUGGAAUUCUUAGUGUAGAGGUGAAAUUCGUAGAUAUUAGGAAGAACACCAGUGGCGAAGGCGGCUCACUGGCUCGAUACUGACGCUGAGGUGCGAAAGCGUGGGGAGCAAACAGGAUUAGAUACCCUAGUAGUCC
rnacentral:rRNA from 1 species